ensembl:misc_RNA Metazoa_SRP Metazoan signal recognition particle RNA
GCUGGAUGCGGUGGCGCGCGCCUGUAGUCCCAGCUUCUUGGGACGCUGAGGUGGGAGGAUCGAUUGAGCCCGGGAGUUCUGGGCUGUAGUGCGCUGUGGAGAUCGGGUGUCUGCACUAAGUUCGGCAUCAAUAUGGUGACCUCCUGGGAUCGGGGGACCACUAGGUCGCCUAAGGAGGGGUGAACCAGCCCAGGUUGGAAACAGAGCAGGUCAAAACUCCUGUGCUGAUCAGUAGUGGGAUCGUGCCUGUGAAUAGCCACUGCACUCCCGCCUGGGCAACAUAGUGAGACCCCAUCUCUG